rnacentral:tRNA from 12 species
CGCUUUUAUUGUUCUCCGAAGUUGAGCAUUGUGCACUAGAAGCAGAUAGAGUAGGGAUGUUCAGAUCUUAUCAUGUAAAAAGAUGGACUCAGCAGCACAAUGUUAUUCAGUAGUGCUCCAGUGGUCUUCCUCAUUGUCUGUGAAAUUACCUCAGCCAAAUUAGAGUCCAGCCACACUAAUGGUCCUGAUGACAAUAUUUAUCCCACAUCUAUUCCUGGCAGGGUUCGCCGACUGAUUGGACAUGCCGCAGGCCUUCAUUUCAUUCCCAGCCAGAGAUUAUCACAGCGAUUGAUCCACAGCCGUGCAACACGAACAGACGCAUUAAGGAUUCCAAACCCUCCAUCCUCAGUCAAAGGGGAUUGGCCAGCUACUGAUGGUGAUUCCCAAGACAUGCAUGUGAUCACUACACAGUUUAACCAGGGGUACACCUCUGGGCCUAUAAAUGAGACUAAAAUGGUGGAAUAGAAGAAAAGACAAGAGGAUGAAAGCCAUCAACAAUGCUCUACCCUGGGGAAAUAAGUACAGGCCAUUUUGAAUUGGUGAAACAUUAAGACCCAGCUCUAGCACUCCACUAGUGUGAAAACUUCUCCAUUGGAGACUUAACCUGUAAAUGCAUAAGCUAUGGUCAGCAGAUUUAAUAAGGGGCUGACAUAUCAGAGCAGAAACCCUCAACUCAUGUGAAAUAAUUCUCUGGACCAGACACUGGACAUUUUGUCCCUUGGCUAAAGGGAAAGGGUUUAUAACCCUACUUAAAUACUGUGAGGCUCCAUCCAGCCUAGUUCAAACUCAAGUGGUACCCCAAGCU